rnacentral:lncRNA from 1 species
UUUUUUGUUUUUCUGGAUCAUUCACUUAUUUGCAUCGGUCCCCUACGUAGAGGAUGCGUAGGCCGAAGCUGACUGCUGAGAUAAACUACUAAGGACUUAUACGGAAAUGAUGAUUAAGGCCAUGGUAUAUGGGGUUUCGGGAAUGAUUCCUAUAUUUACGAAGCUUAUGGUGCUAAAACAGAUACUGAUGUUUCACAAAGUUCUCCCAA